UACGUAGGGUGCAAGCGUUAAUCGGAAUUACUGGGCGUAAAGCGUGCGCAGGCGGUUGUGUAAGGCAGAUGUGAAAUCCCCGGGCUCAACCUGGGAACUGCAUCCGAAACUGCCUUGCUAGAGUAUGGGAGAGGGAAGUGGAAUUUCCGGUGUAGCGGUGAAAUGCGUAGAUAUCGGAAGGAACAUCAGUGGCGAAGGCGACUUCCUGGACCAAUACUGACGCUCAGGUGCGAAAGCGUGGGGAGCAAACAGG
rnacentral:rRNA from 1 species